AUUGAACGCUGGCGGCAUGCUUUACACAUGCAAGUCGAACGGUAACAGGCCUUCGGGUGCUGACGAGUGGCGAACGGGUGAGUAAUGCAUCGGAACGUGCCCAAUCGUGGGGGAUAACGUAGCGAAAGUUACGCUAAUACCGCAUAAGCCCUGAGGGGGAAAGUGGGGGACCGCAAGGCCUCACGCGAAUGGAGCGGCCGAUGUCAGAUUAGCUAGUUGGUGGGGUAAAGGCUCACCAAGGCGACGAUCUGUAGCGGGUCUGAGAGGAUGAUCCGCCACACUGGGACUGAGACACGGCCCAGACUCCUACGGGAGGCAGCAGUGGGGAAUUUUGGACAAUGGGCGCAAGCCUGAUCCAGCCAUGCCGCGUGCGGGACGAAGGCCUCGGUUGUAACG
rnacentral:rRNA from 1 species